rnacentral:rRNA from 1 species
AUUGAACGCUGGCGGCAUGCCUUACACAUGCAAGUCGAACGGUAACAGGUCUUCGGAUGCUGACGAGUGGCGAACGGGUGAGUAAUACGUAGGGACCUGACUUUUAGAGGGGGACAACCAAGGGAAACUUUGGCUAAUACCGCAUACACUCGAGAGAGGAAAGUUGCCCGCAAGGGUGAUACUAGAAGAGGGGCCUGCGUCCGAUUAGCUAGUUGGUGAGGUAAAGGCUCACCAAGGCGAUGAUCGGUAACUGGUCUGAGAGGACGACCAGUCACACUGGGACUGAGACACGGCCCAGACGCCUACGGGAGGCAGCAGUGGGGAAUCUUGGACAAUGGGGGCAACCCUGAUCCAGCGAUGCCGCGUGGGUGAAGAAGGCCUUCGGGUUGUAAAGCCCUUUAGGUUGGGAAAAAGUGUGAGGGAAGAUAAUGCCCUUACAUUGAUUGUACCGACAGAAUAAGCACCGGCAAACUCUGUGCCAGCAGCCGCCGUAA